rnacentral:lncRNA from 1 species
GGACAGGCAAUGUGAUGUCAUAUGUGAGGAAUAGAUCAAUAUGAGUGAAUAAAAAAGUCUAAAUAUAACAAGGAAUUGACUAAGAACAACUAGUCCUAGAAUAUGCACAGGGGAUCCAUCCCUGGAGAUAUCUGGCGGGCCUGCUUCUGGAAGUGCUGAUGCUAUGGAAUGGAGGGCCUGGCUCUCUGCGUCAGAAGUGUUAAGGUGAAGAAGUUUGAAGAUAACUAUGACCUUAUGAGCUUGGAAAGGUCAGGAGAAUGAGCUGCCAGAAGUCUGGUAACUGGAAUCUAUGCUGAAAUUUGCUGGAAACCAGAUGGUGAGAAAUGAAGUGCUGAGUGACCUGCCAGGUCCAGUCCAGCAGGAGCAGAGAUGCAGACUCAUCCAUCCAUUGGCCACACUGCAGUUAAAUAUCUUGCUGGAAAGGUGCCUCUGGAUCCAUUCCAUACCUGACCCAAGGU